rnacentral:rRNA from 1 species
UACGUAGGGGGCAAGCGUUGUCCGGAAUCAUUGGGCGUAAAGCGAGCGUAGGCGGCCCGAUAAGUCUGCUGUAAAAGUCAACGGCUCAACCGUUGAAAGCCGGUGGAUACUGUCGGGCUAGAGUUCGGAAGAGGCAAGUGGAAUUCCUGGUGUAGCGGUGAAAUGCGCAGAUAUCAGGAGGAACACCCAUUGCGAAGGCAGCUCGCUGGGACGUUACUGACGCUGAGACGCGAAAGCGUGGGGAGCAAACAGG